rnacentral:misc_RNA from 1 species
CUUUAAGAUCCAGUUGCGGUUUAA